rnacentral:rRNA from 1 species
GACGUAGGAGGCGAGCGUUGUCCGGAUUCAUUGGGCGUAAAGGGUGCGCAGGCGGCCGUGUGUGUGAGGCGUGAAAGCCCGGGGCUUAACCCCGGAAUUGCACCUCAAACUACAUGGCUAGAGCAUUGGAGAGGGUAGCAGAAUUCAUGGUGUAGCAGUGAAAUGCGUAGAUAUCAUGAGGAAUACCAGAGGCGAAGGCGGCUACCUGGACAAUUGCUGACGCUCAGGCACGAAAGCGUGGGGAGCAAAAGGG